CAGCACCGCGGUAAUACGUAGGUGGCAAGCGUUGUCCGGAAUUAUUGGGCGUAAAGGGCUCGCAGGCGGUUUCUUAAGUCUGAUGUGAAAGCCCCCGGCUCAACCGGGGAGGGUCAUUGGAAACUGGGAAACUUGAGUGCAGAAGAGGAGAGUGGAAUUCCACGUGUAGCGGUGAAAUGCGUAGAGAUGUGGAGGAACACCAGUGGCGAAGGCGACUCUCUGGUCUGUAACUGACGCUGAGGAGCGAAAGCGUGGGGAGCGAACAGGAUUAGAGACCCGUGUAGUCCCUGUCUCUUAUACA
rnacentral:rRNA from 1 species